rnacentral:rRNA from 1 species
UAAUACAUGCAAGUCGAACGAACUCUGGUAUUGAUUGGUGCUUGCAUCAUGAUUUACAUUUGAGUGAGUGGCGAACUGGUGAGUAACACGUGGGAAACCUGCCCAGAAGCGGGGGAUAACACCUGGAAACAGAUGCUAAUACCGCAUAACAACUUGGACCGCAUGGUCCGAGUUUGAAAGAUGGCUUCGGCUAUCACUUUUGGAUGGUCCCGCGGCGUAUUAGCUAGAUGGUGGGGUAACGGCUCACCAUGGCAAUGAUACGUAGCCGACCUGAGAGGGUAAUCGGCCACAUUGGGACUGAGACACGGCCCAAACUCCUACGGGAGGCAGCAGUAGGGAAUCUUCCACAAUGGACGAAAGUCUGAUGGAGCAACGCCGCGUGAGUGAAGAAGGGUUUCGGCUCGUAAAACUCUGUUGUUAAAGAAGAACAUAUCUGAGAGUAACUGUUCAGGUAUUGACGGUAUUUAACCAGAAAGCCACGGCUAACUACGUGCCAGCAGCCGCGGUAAUACGUAGGUGGCAAGCGUUGUCCGGAUUUAUUGGGCGUAAAGCGAGCGCAGGCGGUUUUUUAAGUCUGAUGUGAAAGCCUUCGGCUCAACCGAAGAAGUGCAUCGGAAACUGGGAAACUUGAGUGCAGAAGAGGACAGUGGAACUCCAUGUGUAGCGGUGAAAUGCGUAGAUAUAUGGAAGAACACCAGUGGCGAAGGCGGCUGUCUGGUCUGUAACUGACGCUGAGGCUCGAAAGUAUGGGUAGCAAACAGGAUUAGAUACCCUGGUAGUCCAUACCGUAAACGAUGAAUGCUAAGUGUUGGAGGGUUUCCGCCCUUCAGUGCUGCAGCUAACGCAUUAAGCAUUCCGCCUGGGGAGUACGGCCGCAAGGCUGAAACUCAAAGGAAUUGACGGGGGCCCGCACAAGCGGUGGAGCAUGUGGUUUAAUUCGAAGCUACGCGAAGAACCUUACCAGGUCUUGACAUACUAUGCAAAUCUAAGAGAUUAGACGUUCCCUUCGGGGACAUGGAUACAGGUGGUGCAUGGUUGUCGUCAGCUCGUGUCGUGAGAUGUUGGGUUAAGUCCCGCAACGAGCGCAACCCUUAUUAUCAGUUGCCAGCAUUAAGUUGGGCACUCUGGUGAGACUGCCGGUGACAAACCGGAGGAAGGUGGGGAUGACGUCAAAUCAUCAUGCCCCUUAUGACCUGGGCUACACACGUGCUACAAUGGAUGGUACAACGAGUUGCGAACUCGCGAGAGUAAGCUAAUCUCUUAAAGCCAUUCUCAGUUCGGAUUGUAGGCUGCAACUCGCCUACAUGAAGUCGGAAUCGCUAGUAAUCGCGGAUCAGCAUGCCGCGGUGAAUACGUUCCCGGGCCUUGUACACACCGCCCGUCACACCAUGAGAGUUUGUAACACCCAAAGUCGGUGGGGUAACCUUUUAGGA